UGAGGCCUGCUCAGGCUGGGAACAGCCGAAGGCCUGACUGUGGUGGGAACACCCCACGGCCUGCCCAGGAUGGGGGGACCCAAAAGCCUGGCCGUGGUGGAGAUGUGGUGGGGUUACCUGAGGGUCUGGAUGUGUUAGGGCCGUUCUGUGGCCUGCCCAGGCUGGGGACACUGUGGGGACACCCAAAGGCCUGCCCAGGCUGGGGCUGUGGUGCUGCCGCCCCGGGCCCUGGGUGUGUUAGGGCUGCUUUGAGGCCUGCCCGGGCUGGGGACACCCCAAGGCCUGUCCACGAUGGGGGGACCCAAAGGCCUGGCCAUGCUGGGGAUGUGGUGGGGCUACCUGAGGGUCUGGGUGCGUUAGGGCUGUUCUGUGGCCUGCCAGGGCUGGGGACAGCCCAAGGCCUGACCUGGGGACAGCCCAGGGCCUACCCAGGAUGGGGGGACCCAAAGGCCUGGCCGUGCUGGGGAUGCGGCGGGGCUGCUUUGAGGCCUGCUCAAGCUGGGGACACCCCAAAGCCUGACUGUGGUGGGGACACCUCACGGCCUGACAUGGGGACAGCCCACGGCCUGCCCAGGAUGGGGGGACCCAAAGGCCUGGCCGUGGUGGAGAUGUGGUGGGGCUACCUGAGGGUCUAGAUGUGUUAGGGCCAUUCUGUGACCUGCCCAGGCUGGGGACGCCCCAAGGCCUGACUAUGUUGGGGACACCGUGGGGACACCCAAAGGCCUUUCUAGGCUGGGGAUGCACUGGGGGUGCCCGAAGGCCUGGCUGCCCUGGGGACAUGGUGGGGCCACCCCAGGACCUAGACGUAUUAGGGCCACUCUAUGGCCUACCCAGGCUGGGGACACCCCGAGGCCCGGCCAUGCUGGGACACCCCAGUGCGUUAGGAUGCGUUAGGGCCAUCCUAAAGCCUGGUGACACUGAGGAUGCCCAACGGCCUGGCCGUGUUUGGAACGUGGAAGGACACCCCAAGGCCUGGCCGUGCUGAGGACGUGGGGGUCUCAGGGGCCGGGCCGUCCCCACAGCCAGCAGGUGCUGCAUCCCCAGCUUUAUCCUGUCGUGUGCCCUGGCAGCGGGGUCAGGCGUGGCGGCCAUUUGGGGUGACAGCAGGGCUGGCUGGGCACGCUGCCACCCUCACGGUCCCAUCUCAUUCUCCCCUCCCGUGCCGUGUUAGAGGGGCAGGGCAG
rnacentral:lncRNA from 1 species